rnacentral:rRNA from 1 species
ACGAACUGUAGCAAUACAGUUAGUGGCGGAAGGGUUAGUAAUACAUGGGUAACCUGCCUUUAACUUUGGAAUAACGGUUGGAAACGAUCGCUAAUACCAAAUGUGGUAGUAAUAAGGCAUCUUAAAACUAUUAAAGUGGGGGAUCGUAAGACCUCGCGGUUAAUGAGGGGCCCAUGAGAUAUCAGCUAGUUGGUAGGGUAAAGGCCUACCAAGG